rnacentral:lncRNA from 1 species
GACAGUGGGCGGGACUAAGGGGGCCACCUGCAGACACACCCUGGCUUCGGGACCGUCUUCCUUCUCUUCCCCCUCGGGGCCUAGAGGAGGCCACGCGCGGGGUCUCCGAGCUCUAGGGUCCGGAGCUCUAGGGUCCUUUUAUGUAGCAAAGUCAGGCCUGGGAACAGAACUUCAUGUGCUUGUAAAAAGUCUCAGGUGCGUCCUCGUUGUUUUAGAGACUUGGAGAGGAAUGGGGGCGGGGGGAACAAAAUCCGAGGACAGUCGAGCCAAGAAAAGUCGGGGCUUCUAGGAUGCCAACCACGCCAAACAGAUCAAAACCAGGACUGGAGGACUGAAGAUGAAGCCGGCAAAAAGUCACCAGCCACGGCUCUUGUAAGGUAUGCUUCACCUCUCCUGCUAAGUCUUCAUCCCUGUCUAUGAGGACAAAGAAGUUACGGGUUAAAUUGGCGAUGGGCCAGGCGCUCCUUGAGGAUGCUCUAAAGUUGGUGAUAGAAAAUGGGAGAACUGAAGACAACCACUUUAUAAAACCCUUGCCUGCUUGAAUUUGUGGUGAUGAACCGGCCCCUGGGAUUUGCUGCUCAGAACCUGAGUUCACUGAGACAUCAGGAGCAAGCACUGGAGGCCGGGUGCUGCUGGAUCCUGAUGGGAGCCAUGCAGGACUUGACCAUGGCCUGCACACACUUCUUCCCAGGAGAAGGGGAAUGAGGAAGGACUGGCCCCUGGGAUUUGCUGCUCAGUUCACUGAGACAUCAGGAGCAAGCACUGGAGGCCGGUGCUGCUGGACCCAGAUGGGAGCCAUGCAGGACUUGACCAUGGCCUGCAUACACUUCUUCCCAGGAGAAGGGGAAUGAGGAAGAACUGGACGAUGAAUUUUAACCUCCACACCACAAGCACUGGGGUAGAAGACUGCUGCUGGGUGAAGAAGAGACUAGACUUGAUCAUUGAGCAGCCACUCACUGAUAUCUUCAGUGCUGCAUGAGGAAGAGUUUAUUCUUCUGGAUUUGGUGGUGGAUUCUGGUGAAGAUACAGAUGGAUGCUCUGGCUGAGUCGCUACCUUGAAAUGAAAAUGGGAGGUAAACUCUCCCAUAGAUGAAUCUUCCUCAUUUUGAAGAACCGGCCCCUGGGAUUUGCUGCUCAGAACCUGAGUUCACUGAGACAUCAGGAGCAAGCACUGGAGGUCGGGUGCUGCUGGACCCAGAACCGGCCCCUGGGAUUUGCUGCUCAGAACCUGAGUUCACUGAGACAUCAGGAGCAAGCACUGGAGGCCAGGUGCUGCUGGACCCAGAUGGGAGCCAUGCAGGACUUGACCAUGGCCUGCACACACUUCUUCCCAGGAGAAGGGGAAUGAGGAAGGACUGGCCCCUGGGAUUUGCUGCUCAGGACCUGAGUUCACUGAGACAUCAGGAGCAAGCACUGGAGGCUGGGUGCUGCUGGACCCAGAUGGGAGCCAUGCAGGACUUGACCAUGGCCUGCACACACUUCUUCCCAGGAGAAGGGGAAUGAGGAAGAACUGGCCCCUGGGAUUUGCUGCUCAGAACCUGAGUUCACUGAGACAUCAGGAGCAAGCACUGGAGGCCGGGUGCUGCUGGACCCAGAUGGGAGCCAUGCAGGACUUGACCAUGGCCUGCACACACUUCUUCCCAGGAGAAGGGGAAUGAGGAAGAACUAGAUCCUAAGAGCAGAAGACAAUCAUAUGUCCUGAGAACCCAUUGGAGGUUGAACAGCGCUGGGUGGAUGGAGAAAGGCAGAAAUGCAGAAUUUCGUCAUUGCCUGGAUGCUGACUUUAUCCAAAGAGAAGAUGCAUGAGGAGUGUACAUGCCUCAGAACUGGAUGCUGAGACAUGCCCCCGCGAUCCCAAGACCACCAGGUACCGUGAGCAAUCACUGGAGCUGGAACACUGCUGCCUGAGGAAGAGAAGAAGUGCAGGCUUGUCAUUGUCUAUGCUGUUACUUGUGGUUCCCGGGUCUUCAGAGAGGAUGCACAAGAACGGGAGAACCGGCCCCUGGGAUUUGCUGCUCAGGACCCGAGUUCACUGAGACAUCAGGAGCAAGCACUGGAGGCCGGUGCUGCUGGAUCCAGAUGGGAGCCAUGCAGGACUUGACCAUGGCCUGCACACACUUCUUCCCAGGAGAAGGGGAAUGAGGAAGGCAGACUGGCAUCACAGGACCCUUCAGAGUAUUAAUGCAGACCUUCGUGACAGAGGUCCAGUACCAAGUGCUCAGCGGUGCUAAGGUCCAGGGACAGGAGGCAGAAGGGCGGGUUCCAGCCCGCUCAGCUGGCCAUGGUAAAAUACUAGCUGGUGUCCUAGGGCAGCAAGGCGCCUCCCUCUCCAGGUUAUGAAAACAUUGCAGUCUGAGUUUCUGUUGGGACCUGAGAAGAAGUCAAGGAAGCCCUGCAAGGCACUCACAGCUGCUCCUGCUGUCUGUAAUCGGCCGCCAUCUUCCUUCAUUCUCUGGUGACUGAGGUCCAGGAACAGGAAGCAGAGGGGCAGGUUCCACCCCGCUCAGCUGGCCAUGAACCGGCCCCUGGGAUUUGCUGCUCAGGACCCGAGUUCAGUGAGACAUCAGGAGCAAGCACUGGAGGCCGGUGCUGCUGGACCCAGAUGGGAGCCAUGCAGGACUUGACCAUGGCCUGCACACACUUCUUCCCAGGAGAAGGGGAAUGAGGAAGAACUGGACCAGAAGAUUUAACUUCCAUACCACAAGCACUGGGGUAGAAGACUGCUGCUGGGUGAAGAAGAGACUAGACUUGAUCAUUGAGCAGCCACUCACUGAUAUCUUCAGUGCUGCAUGAGGAAGGACUGGCCCCUGGGAUUUUCUGCUCAGGACCCGAGUUCACUGAGACAUCAGGAGCAAGCACUGGAGGCCGGUGCUGCUGGACCCAGAUGGGCGCCAUGCAGGACUUGACCAUGGCCUGCACACACUUCUUCCCAGGAGAAGGGGAAUGAGGAAAGUGGGGGGCCUCAAAGCUUCCUUUCCUUUCUGUUUGUCUUGCUAUGUUUUUAUAUUCCUUUUUAUCCAUUUAAUUAUUUAGUACAAAAUCAGGUCCAGUCUCCUUAGAUAUGGCAUUGAUAUAAAGUGUAAAAUGGAAGCUAAAUUCUAGGAGUACAGCAUUGCAUGCUUCUGACAGAGACAAGGAAGGCUAGAAUCACACAGUUAGUGGACACUGCAACUAUAUUGACAUUUUUUUUUUUUUAGACUGUGAAGGUGGGGACAGAUUGCUGCACUCAGAACACCUUCCCUGCUCUGGGGAAACAAACACUGUCAUCAUGGGGAAAAUGUUUCCUGUAGACCCACACAAGCACACACCCCUCCUCCUACAUCCAGCUUCUCCUCAGCCAUUUUGAAGCAGGGAAGAUCAGGGGGAUUCAUGAAUGGCGAAAUUUGGCCUUUUUUAGUGUAUUUCUCUCCUUCUGUAGGCAGACUGGCAUCACCUGACCCUUCAGAGUAUUAACUCAGACCCUGGUGACUGAGGUCCAGUACCAAGUGCUCAGCUGGGCUGCGGUGCAGGGACAGGAAGCAGAAGGGCAGAUUCAACCCCCCUCAGCUGGCCAUGCUAAUCUACUAGCUGGUGUCCUAGGGCAGCAAGGCGCCUCCCUCUCCAGGAUCUGAUGAGAAAACACUGCAGUUCCAGUUUCUUUCGGGGCUUGAAGAGAAGUCAAGGAAGCCCUGCAAGGCACUCACAGCUGAUCAUGCUUUCUGUAAUCGCCCUCCAUCUUCCUUCAUUGCUAGGAAUCAUUGGAAGGACAACAGCGGAGCUGUGAGUUUUGAAACCGCGUCCUCAUGGGGGCAGUAGAGGUCCACACAAGAGCUUAACUGGCCCCUGGGAUUUGCUGCUCAGAACCUGAGUUCACUGAGACAUCAGGAGCAAGUACUGGAGGCCGGUGCUGCUGGACCCAGAUGGGAGCCAUGCGGGACUUGACCAUGGCCUGCACACACUUCUUCCCAGGAGAAGGGGAGUGAGGAAGAACCGGCCCCUGGGAUUUGCUGCUCAGGACCCGAGUUCACUGAGACAUCAGGAGCAAGCACUGGAGGCCGGGUGCUGCUGGACCCAGAUGGGAGCCAUGCAGGACUUGACCAUGGCCUGCACACACUUCUUCCCAGGAGAAGGGGAAUGAGGAAGGUGGGGGCCUCAAGGCUUCCUUUCCUCUCUUUUUGGCUUGUUAUGCUUUUAUAUUUCUUUUUAUCCAUAUGAUUAUUUAGUACAAAAGCAGGUCCAGCCUCCUUACAUAUGGCAUUGAUAUAAAAUGCAAAACAGAAGCUAAAUUCUAGGAAUACAGCAUUGCAAGCUUCUGACACAGACAAGGAAGGCUAGAACUGCACAGUUAGUGGACACUACCUCUGUAUUGACAUUUUUUUCAGUCUGUGAAGGCGGGGACAGAGAGCUGCAGCCAGGACACCUUCCCUGCUCUGGGGCAACACUGCCAUCAUGGGAAAAUGUUUUCUGUAGACCAGCUGAGGCACACACCCCUCCUCCAUCCUGCUUCUCCUCAGCCAUUUUGAAGCAGGGAGGAUGAGGGGGAUUCAUGAAUGGCGAAGCUUGCCCAUUUUACUGUAUUUCUCUCCUACUGUGGGCAGACUGGCAUCACCCGACCCUUCAGAGUAUUAAUGCAGACCUUCGUGACAGAGGUCCAGUACCAAGUGCGCAGCUGUGCUGAGGUCCAGGGACAGAAAGCAGAUGGGCAGAUUCAACCCCCCUCAGCUGGCCAUGCUAAUCUACUAGCUGGUGUCCUAGGGCAGCAGGGUGCCUCCCUCUCCAGGUUCUGAUGAGAAAACACUGCAGUCCCAGUUUCUUUCGGGGCUUGAAGAGAAGUCAAGGAAGCCCUGCAAGGCACUCACAGCUGAUCAUGCUGUCUGUAAUUGGCUGCCAUCUUCUGCCAUUGCUAGGAAUCAUGGGAAGGAGGACAUGUGGUGCUGUGACUUCUGAAACUAUUUUCCUCAUGAUGGCAGUUGUGCUCCACAAAAGAUCUUUUGAUUGUUUCCCCCCCCUCCCCGCUUCCUGUGUGAAAAAUUAUCAAGGAGAAUAUAGGUACCAAGGAAGAUUGGUUCGGUGAACUUUGCCUGUCCUCGAAUCGGUUCAGGGAUGGUUUGUUUUGUUUUUUGUUUUUGUUUUUUUGUUUUCUUGUUUUCCUUCUGAAGUCAUUCUGAGUCCUCAUUCUACCCUAGGUUGUAGGCCAUUUCCUUUUCUACAGCUGUUCAUACUCACCCUUUUUAGCUACUUAAUUUUGCUCUUGAUUGUCUAGUCUUAUUCAUUGGUUACAAUUUUCACACAGGAAAGGUAGUCUAGGAGCUUCGAAAGGAAAGCUUUUUUCAUGCAGGGUGAUUGGUAUUGCUGAGGGCUAACAACCCUUGCCUACCGUAUCCUAGAGCCUGGGUUUGCUCCCCAGGACUGAAAUGGGCACUGUUUGUCAUACAUAAUUAUGCAGCAGGGAAAUUCUCAGUGGUAAUAUUGUAAAACCAACCAAACAAAAAAACCCCCAAAACCAGUCAUGGCAGUAAGCUGUGAUCAGGAUGGAAUUGUAGAAAAGCAUUCAUGGGCUUCUCUCCUUCCUUUUAGUGUUGCCCCCUCCUCUCUGUCACUAAACCCCACUCCAUGUUCCUAGUGUCCCUCUUUUCUCCUCUCCUUCUAUGUACACCCAAAGGCAGAAAUACAGUUCUACAUUGGCUAGCCUAUAUGUCCUUUAAAAGUGUUCUCUCUCAUGAACAAUCUCUGCUUUAUUUCAUUUCCAAUUAAAUGCACACAUAUACCAAGCUGUUAAUGGUGCUUGCUUUGGGUAAUGAUAUUUACAAUAAAGUUUUCAUUUGUUCAUCCUUGAAAAAAAAAAAAAAAAAA